AGCAGAAAAACUUGCGCACUCGUCUCUUUCGAUCGAUCUCACAACGAUAUUGCAGAGAUUUGGAAGCAUGACAAAGAAUAUAUUAACCAGAACCUGCUCGUAUCGCUGAAGUACAUAAAUUCAUAUAUCCAGAAUGAGUUAACACGGUCUCAACCGAAGGUUGGAUGGUUCACUGCUUAGUGAUGUCAACAAUUGAGCCGAACUUGGAACCAGUAUUUUGUAAACUUUUUUUAUGUCACGAGAAAUGUGUGUAAUGGCAGUUUGCUUUAGCUGAAAAUCGAUUUUUAAUUUAUGAACAUUAAAAAAUUCAGAUAAUUUCAA